rnacentral:lncRNA from 1 species
CUUGAGAAGCAGAAGCCCCCAAACCUGGAGGUGGAGCCCUUAAAGCCCCGACGCCAGAGAAGCCACCCGAAGCGAAACGGGUCUAAAGUCUCCACGAACUCGCUACAGACCCCAAGACGCGACUUUCCGGUAGUGAGGACCCCUGGGGAGGAGAAACGAAUCCGCAUCAACCCGCGGCAAGUCCCGGAAAGUGUGGUGGGAGUGGCUGCUUCCAACCCCCGAGGCGCCUGCCUUCCCAAGGAGGCUGCCAGGGGAUCCAUUCCGCUUUGCAGGGAGGGAGGGAGAGAGAGAGAGAAGGCAAGCCCGGGCGGGCGCCUCUCCGAGCGGCUUACCUCUCCGCUGCUUUCCAGCCGGAUGUGGAGGAGUAGAAGCGCGGAGAGCCAGCACGGGCGGUCAGGGGGUCAAGCAGGCAGGCAGCUCGGCGGCUCUCUCAUCCUUUCUCUCCGCCAGGGAGGCGAGGCAAGGCAAGGCAAGGCAAGGCGGGGCGUCCCCUGGGCGGCCGCGGCAGGGACCUCCUCGCUGAUGUCACGGGAGAGGAGGGGGGGGGAGCAGGGAGGGGGAAGCCCAGGAGGAGGAGCCCCGACAGGGCACGCGCCGGGCGGGAGGGGAGGGAGGAGGGAGCGCGCGCCCCUGAGAGCCACAAGUGGGGAGGAAGGCGAACUUUCAACCAGAGGAAGCGGAGCCUCCGGUGGCGUAGUGGGUUAAAGCCUUGUGACUUGAAGGUUGGGUUGCUGAUCUGAAGGCUGCCAGGUUCGAAUCCCACCUGGGGAGAGCACGGAUGAGCUCCCUCUAUCAGCUCCAGCUCCAUGCGGGGACAUGAGAGAAGCCUCCCACAAGGAUGGUAAAAACAUCAAAGACAUCCAGGCGUCCCCUGGGCAAAGUCCUUGCAGACGGCCGAUUCUCUCACACCAGAAGCGACUCAGGUUGCUCCUGACACGGAAAAAAAUGAUAGAAGCAAUUAUGAAAUGACAUUUAUAAUCCAGGAACAAAAAUCAUGUUACAUAGUGUAAACCACAUGGAAGUUCAAACAUACAGGUAGCUGUAUUGAUCUCUGUCUGUCUGUCUAUCUCUCUCUCUAUUGCACCAUCCAGGUUAUUAGGAACUACUGUUAGUCAUAGCGUAAAGAGCAGGCAAAGGUCAGUAUAUUGGCCACUGCAUUAUGACUGGAAACACUGCAUGAAAAUGGUGAAAGGGGAGAGUUAACAUCAUUUUAAACAACAUAAGAUAUCCAGCUCAAGACUUUUCACUGAGGAGAAAAUUUGUAUUUCAAAUUCAACAUACUAGUUCUAACAGUCUGUAUCUCCUCCAGGACCAGUUAACCUAAUGAGAUUUAAUAGCUCAUUCAAAACCAACCCUCUGCAUUGCAACACAAAUAAUGUCUUGCUGUUAGCAACAUCCAUCACUUUCUCCUGCUGUGAAGACAACAUAUAUGCCCAGAGGAUGCAAGAAAGUCUCCAGGCAAUGGCAGAUUAGUCC